rnacentral:tRNA from 1 species
AAAGCUUUAAGUUAACAAAACUAUUAACCUUCAAAGUUAAAUAUAUGAAUAUUAAUAAUCAUAAGCUUUA